rnacentral:rRNA from 1 species
UAGGGAAUCUUCCACAACGGCGAAGCCUGAUGGAGCAACGCCGCGUGUGUGAUGAAGGGUUUCGGCUCGUAAAACACUGUUGUAAGAGAAGAAUGACAUUGAGAGUAACUGUUCAAUGUGUGACGGUAUCUUACCAGAAAGGAACGGCUAAAUACGUGCCA